rnacentral:rRNA from 1 species
UACGGGGGGGCAAGCGUUGUUCGGAAUUACUGGGCGUAAAGGGUUCGUAGGUGGCCAACUCAGUCAGACGUGAAAUCCCUCAGCUUAACUGGGGAACUGCGUCUGAUACUGGAUGGCUCGAGUGCAGGAGAGGAACGCGGAAUUCCAGGUGUAGCGGUGAAAUGCGUAGAUAUCUGGAGGAACACCGGUGGCGAAGGCGGCGUUCUGGACUGCAACUGACACUGAGGAACGAAAGCCAGGGGAGCAAACGGG